rnacentral:lncRNA from 1 species
UCUUAUAUUUCUUUACAGAGGGAGUAGAUUGGAGAUGCCCUAACUACUCACAAUAUUUUUCACUGCAGUGGUAUAUUCAAUAAAAAGGCUCAAUGUACAUCAACAAUUACAUUACAUUCUGGCAUGAAGUAAUUGAGAUUUAUCAGCAUCCAUAUACAAUUCACAACAGGUACUUUAUCAGCAUCCACAUACAAUUCACAACAGGUACUUUAUCAGCAUCCACAUACAAUUCACAACAGGUACUUUAUCAGCAUCCACAUACAAUUCACAACUGGUACUUCACAGGCAUCCUCGUGAUCCAAAUGCUAAAGCCAAAAAAAGGACAAGAGAAUAAAACUCACGGAGCUAGCUAUGAUAGUUUAACCAUGGAUAACACAUCACCACUUCAUCUUAACAGCCAGCUUUCAGAACUCAGAACUGAUGCCACAGAUAGCUAAAUUUAGAGGGCGGCAUUCACUGGCCACAGCAUCGACCUUCACCAUGUCAACAGAAAACUAGGGAGAAGAGCACUGUUACUCAAUCUUCACAGACAACUAGGGAGAAGAGCACUGUUACUCAAUCUUCACAGACGA